GAUGAACGCUAGCGAUAGGCUUAACACAUGCAAGUCGAGGGGCAGCAUGAUCUUAGCUUGCUAAGGUCGAUGGCGACCGGCGCACGGGUGCGUAACGCGUAUGCAACUUGCCUUACAGAGGGGGAUAACCCGUUGAAAGACGGACUAAAACCGCAUACACUUGUAUUAUUGCAUGAUAUUACAAGGAAAUAUUUAUAGCUGUAAGAUAGGCAUGCGUCCCAUUAGCUUGUUGGUGAGGUAACGGCUCACCAAGGCGACGAUGGGUAGGGGAACUGAGAGGUUUAUCCCCCACACUGGUACUGAGACACGGACCAGACUCCUACGGGAGGCAGCAGUGAGGAAUAUUGGUCAAUGGGCGAGAGCCUGAACCAGCCAAGUCGCGUGAAGGAAGACAGUCCUAAGGAUUGUAAACUUCUUUUAUACGGGAAUAACGGGCGAUACGAGUAUUGC
rnacentral:rRNA from 1 species